CAUCCAAAACCCUCGCUCCCGCUCCGCUGACCAUGGCGCCGCCGCGGGAGCCGACGGCGGGCGACGUCACCGACUCGCUCGCGCCGGAGCUCCUCUCCGAGAUCCUCCUCCGCCUCCCGCCGGACGACCCGGGGCACCUCUUCCGCGCCUCCCUCGUCUGCAAGGCGUGGCUCCGCGCCGUCUGCGACCCCUGCUUCCUCCGCCGCUACCGCGCCUUCCACGGCUCCCCGCCGCUGCUCGGCCUCCUCCACAGGCUCCAGGUCUUGCAGGGGGACCCCGCCCCGCGCCUCGCCCGCACCACCGCCGUGCCCCUCUCCCCCGACCCCGCCUUCCGCCGCGCCCUCGACUGCCACCAUGGCCGCGUCCUCCUCCACGCCUCCGACGACGACUGGUACUUCAUCGUGUGGGACCCCGUCACGGGCGAGCAGCACCGCCUGCCGGAGCCCGGCAUCCCGUGGCUCAUCUACUCCGCCGCAGUGUUCUGCCCAGUGGGUGGCUGUGAUCACCUCGACUGCCAUGGCGGUCCCUUCCGAGUGGUCUUCGUCGCCACCGACGAUGAUGACGAGCUCGUUAAGGCGACCGUGUACUCGUCGGAGUCGGGUGCGUGGAGCACACCAAUCAUUCUUGAUUAUGUAAGCCCACAACAGCGUCUGCAAGACAUCUAUAGCGGUGAAUUGUUUGCGCCGUAUGUCCUGCCUAGGCGAGGUGCCCUCGUCGGAGAUGUAAUCUACUUCACACUUCGGAAGAAAGACAGUACAAUCAUUGAGUACAACUGGAACAUGAACUGCAUAUCUAAGAUUGAUGGGCCCGCGCGAGAUGUGUACGCCGUGGCCCUCAUGGAGAUGGAGAAUGGUUCACUGGGGUUUGCCUGCAUUCAGGGUUCCAGCCUUUAUGUGUGGUCGAGGAAGGUGAAUUCAGAAGGGGCUGCAGAAUGGGUACAAUGCUGGGUCAUCGAGCUGGAGAAAAUGAUACCCGUUGCCAAUGGCGAUCGUAAACCAUUUGUGGUUGGCUCUGCAGAGGGUCUGGGUCUCGUCUUCGUGAGCACGGGUGUUGGCUUAUUCACGAUCGAGCUCAAGUCAAAGCAGGUGAAGAAGGUUGAAGAGCCUGGGGUCUACUAUAGUGUCUUACCCUACAUGAGCUUCUACACUCCUGAUUGUGGCAUAUUAUCAUCGCUAGCGAGGACUUGCUGAUCUUUGAUGUCAAGCUCAAGAGCAACAUUUUGCAAAAUGGACAAAUCCAUCAUCUUGAUUCUGCUGCCAUUGACUUCUUACAGAGCUACUACUAUGAACUCAUCUAUUUUCUGGUUGGUAGUACAAUUAUGAACAAUGCAAGUCAAUGUGGUUGUCGUGUUGAAUUCAUUCUACCAAUCAUGAAGGCACUAGCUAUAUUCAGUUUAAUAGGCUUGGCAUCUUUCAGCUACUGUUUGGUUUUAUGUUGGGCCCAGGUGUUUAUAGGACUUGGGCGUCUUCUGUUGAACUGGCAGAACAUAUUCCGGUAUGGUUCUCUGAGCACAAGAAAGAUGUUGAAACCAGGAGGUUCAGCUGAAAGAGGUAGUAACACAGAAAUUGGACGAGGCAACUGGGAUUUCUGCAUGCCCUGUUAUGAAAUGUUAGGAUAUUAUCUUCCAUUCUGUCUAAAAAUAUGUUUGUUGCAAUGCAGGUUCCUAAGCUUAGAAAAGAUUACAUUGAUGGGGUUUCUGUCCAGCUGAUUUGGAAGAGAAACUUGCUUUUGGAAGAUUACAUUAAUGAGGUUUCUGCCUGUUCCAAUGAUUUAGGAGCUUAAGGAGACCGCACCUUGCAUUUUGUAAACAAAUUAGGUAAAGUAGCUGGCUGUAUUUGUUGGCUUGUGCACAUUUGGUUUCGGAAUUGUAUUUGUGUAACCAAUCCAUGUUGGUUGUAAUUACUUUGUGAUGUAUAUAUGAUGUUUGGCGCACAAACCAGAUUGUACUGCUGCUGUAAAUUAUUUCUACAGAUUGUGUGAUGACAUGUGUGAUAGCAUGAAAGAAUAUAA